UACGGGGGGGGCAAGCGUUGUUCGGAAUUACUGGGCGUAAAGGGCUCGUAGGCGGCCAACUAAGUCAGACGUGAAAUCCCUCGGCUUAACCGGGGAACUGCGUCUGAUACUGGAUGGCUUGGAUCCGGGAGAGGGAUGCGGAAUUCCAGGUGUAGCGGUGAAAUGCGUAGAUAUCUGGAGGAACACCGGUGGCGAAGGCGGCAUCCUGGACCAACACUGACGCUGAGGAGCGAAAGCCAGGGGAGCAAACGGG
rnacentral:rRNA from 1 species